rnacentral:misc_RNA from 1 species
GACUGCCAUUCGCUACUCAAGUUCACAGGAGAAGAAGAAGAUUAUGUUUGGCGCCUCUAGCACAUGGCUGCCAUUAACCCACCCAGUACACCCACCAUCUCCGCCAUAUCUCCUUUAUUUUCCUCUCCAAAUCCAUUUCGCUUGCCUUCAAAAUCAACUAUUUUCCAUCAUCUGUCACUCGCUCCACCUUCUUUCUUUAAUCCAAAACUCCGUCAGAAACACCGCUCUCGCUUCUCCACCUCCACCGAACAAUCCCUCCUUUCGCCAGACCCUACUGUGUCUAAGCUGCAAAACACUCAACCCCUUUUCCCUUUAGACACUCUCGAUGACUCCGCUUCGUUACCAAAUACCAAUUCUGACUCUUUCAUUGAAAUUGACCAUUUACUCAAUUUGCUUCGCUUGUCUGUCAAAUACGCUGAUGUCCACCUUGCCCGAGCUGUUCAUGCUUGGGUUCUCAAGCUUGAAGAGGAUACCCAUCUGGGUAAUGCAGUCCUUGUGGCUUACCUAAAGUUGGGUCGUCUUCUCGAUGCUUACGGGGUUUUCCGGGGCCUCUCUAGCCCCGAUGUGGUGUCUUACACUGCUUUGAUUUCGAGUUUCGCUAAGGUGAAUCGAGGGAGAGAAGCAAUUGAGCUUUUCUUUAGAAUGAGGAGUUCAGGUAUUGAGCCUAAUGAUUAUAGUUUUGUUGCUAUUUUAACUGCCUGUAUUAGGACUUUGGAAUUAGAGUUGGGUUCGCAACUUCAUGCGUUGAUAAUCAGGCUGGGGUACUUAGAUUGUGUCAUUGUUGCAAAUGUUUUGAUGUGUUUGUAUGGUAAAUCUGGGAGUCUGGAUUACGUGAGUCGAUUGUUUGAUGAAAUGCCUCAAAGAGAUAUUGCAACGUGGAAUACUGUGAUAUCGUGCAUGGUGAACGAAUUGUCAUAUGAGAAAGCAUUAGAACUGUUUCGAGAUUUGCACCGUACUACUGAUUUUAAAUCUGAUCAAUUUACUCUAUCAACGGUGUUGACUGCUUGUGCUGGGUGCCAUGCUGUGAUGGGAGGUAGAGAGGUUCAUGGACAUGCCAUUAGAAUUGGGUUAGAGUGCAACUUGAGUAUUAAUAAUGCAAUUAUUUUGUUCUACACUAGGUGUGGGAGUCUAAAAGAUGUUGUGGCCGAUUUUGAGAUGAUGCCAGUAAGGGAUAUAAUUACUUGGACGGAAAUGAUUAUUGCGUAUAUGGAAUUUGGAUAUGUGGAUAUGGCUGUAGAGGUAUUUGAGAAGAUGCCAGAGAGGAAUUCUGUUUCUUAUAAUGCUCUUUUGACUGGAUUCUGUAAAAACGGUGAAGAGUUGAAGGCACUGGAGUUUUUUAUUAAGAUGGUCCGGGAAGGAGUAGAAUUAACUGAUUUCACUUUGACUAGUGUUAUAAAUGCUUGUGGAAUGCUCAUGGAAUUUGAAAUUAGCAGACAAAUUCAUGGGUUUAUCAUAAAGUUUGGUUUUGGAUCAAAUGCUUUCAUUGAAGCUGCUUUGCUUGAUAUGUGCACGAGAUGUGGAAGGAUGAAUGAUGCUGAAAAGAUGUUUCACAGCUGGCCAUAUGAUCAGGAUAGUUCAAUAAUACGAACAUCAAUGUUAUGUGGCUAUGCUCGAAAUGGGAUGCCAGAUGAAGCGAUUGUUCUCUUCCACCAAAGCCAAUCAGAAGGGGCAGUAGUUAUAGAUGAAGUUGCAUUGACUUCAGUAUUUAGUGUCUGUGGGACUCUAGGGUUUCAUGAGAUGGGGAAGCAAAUCCACUGUCAUGCUCUUAAAUCUGGGUUUGUAGAUGACACAGGAGUAGGAAAUUCCAUAAUUAGCAUGUAUUCCAAGUGCUUUAGCAUGAAUGAUGCAAUUAAAUCUUUCAACACUAUGUCAGCACAUGAUAUAGUUUCAUGGAAUUGUUUGAUUGCAGGCUAUCUCCUUCACAGGCAGGGAGAUCAGGCCUUGGUUGUCUGGUCGAGAAUGGAGAAGGCAGGCAUAAAACCCGACACUGCCACACUUGUGUUUAUUAUUUCUGCUUACAAGCAUACUAGCGCAAAUUUAGUUGCUGACUGUCGUAGGCUUUUUCUCUCUAUGAAAAAUAUAUAUGACAUUGAGCCCACUUCAGAGCAUUAUGCCUCCUUGGUAAGUGUGCUGGGACACUGGGGUUUCCUUGAAGAAGCAGAGAAAUUGAUCAUUAAGAUGCCCUUUGAGCCUGAGGCUUCUGUUUGGCGAGCUUUGCUUGAUAGUUGUAGACUUCACUUGAAUACAAGCAUCGGAAAACGGGUUGCGAAGCGUAUACUGGUUAUGGAGCCACAGGAUCCAUCCACAUAUGUGCUUGUAUCGAAUCUGUAUUCUGCUUCUGGGAGGUGGCAUUGCUCAGAAUUGGUUAGAGCCAAAAUGAGAGAAAGAGGGUUUCAGAAGCACCCAUGUCGAAGUUGGAUUAUUCAUCAGGAGAAGGUUCAUUCAUUUUAUGUAAGAGAUAAAUCACAUCCUCAGACAAAAGACAUCUAUAGUGGAUUAGACAUACUAAUCUUCGAAUGCUUGAAGGCUGGGUAUGAACAUGAUACAAGCUUUGUACUUCAUGAAGUAGAGGAGCAUCAAAAGAAGGAAUUCUUAUUUUAUCAUAGUGCAAAACUAGCAGCAACAUAUGGACUUCUGACGACCAGACCAGGAGAACCCAUUCGUAUAGUGAAGAACGUCCUUCUAUGUGGGGAUUGCCAUUCAUUCUUGAAAUAUGUGUCUGUUGUUACCAGAAGAGAGAUAUUCUUACGGGAUUCUUCUGGGUUUCAUUGUUUUUCAAAUGGUCAAUGUUCAUGCAAAGAUUACUGGUGAUGGUUAUCACUGUUGCUCCUAAAAAGUGAACAUUGUAUAAUCUUUUUCUUCUUUCUUAUCCUUUUAUGUCUUAUUGAUAGUAGCAUAGUUAUACCUGUAUGUAGACAUGUAAUGCCUCAAAUGUGAUUAAGGGCUUGUUUAGUUUAGCUGUUGAAUACAACUAAUAGCUAUUAAUCAAUAGCUGAUAAUGUUAGCUGAAAGUUGAUAAGGGAUGGUUGUAAAUUUAUGUUAUUUU